UACGGAGGGUGCAAGCGUUAUCCGGAAUUAUUGGGCGUAAAGCGUCCGCAGGUGGCUGUUCAAGUCUGCUGUCAAAGCGCAGAGCUUAACUCUGUACAGGCGGUGGAAACUGAAGAGCUAGAGUAUGGUAGGGGUAGAGGGAAUUCCCGGUGUAGCGGUGAAAUGCGUAGAUAUCGGGAAGAACACCAGUGGCGAAAGCGCUCUACUGGGCCAUAACUGACACUGAGGGACGAAAGCUAGGGGAGCGAAAGGG
rnacentral:rRNA from 1 species